GAUGAACGCUAGCGGCAGGCUUAACACAUGCAAGUCGAGGGGUAUAUAGGAGCUUGCUUUUAUAGAGACCGGCAAACGGGUGCGGAACACGUACGCAAUCUGCCCUUAUCUUGGGGAUAGCCCAUAGAAACGUGGAUUAAUACCCAAUAGUAUAUUUGGAUGGCAUCAUUUAAAUAUUAAAGAACUUCGGAUAAGGAUGAGCGUGCGUAAGAUUAGCUAGAUGGUGAGGUAACGGCUCACCAUGGCAACGAUCUUUAGCUGAUGUGAGAGCAUGAGCAGCCACACGGGCACUGAGACACGGGCCCGACUGGUACGGGAGGCGGAAGUGAGGAAUAUUGGUCAAUGGACGGAAGUCUGAACCAGCCAUGCCGCGUGAAGGAUGAAGGCGUUCUGCGUUGUAAACUUCUUUUAUCAGGGAAGAAACCACAGAUUUCUAUUUGUGUUGACGGUACCUGAGGAAUAAGCACCGGCUAACUCCGUGCCAGCCGCCGCGGUAAAAC
rnacentral:rRNA from 1 species